rnacentral:misc_RNA from 1 species
CAACCCUCAAGCCCCCGGGCUUGGUGUUGGGGCUCGGCCCGUCCCUCGUGGCGCGCCGUCCCCGAAAUCUAGUGGCGGUCUCGCUGCAGCCUCCCCUGCGUAGUAGCUAACACCUCGCAACGGGAACUGAGCGCGGCCACGCCGUUAAACCCCAACUUCUGAA